AACGAACGCUGGCGGCGUACUUAACACAUGCAAGUCGGACGAGAAAGGAGACUUCGGUCUCUGAGUAAAGUGGCGCACGGGUGCGUAACACGUGGGUGACCUGCCCUCAGCUCUGGGAUAAGCCUGGGAAACCGGGUCUAAUACUGGAUAUGACUCCAUGACGCAUGUUGUGGGGUGGAAAGCCUUGUGCGGCUGAGGAUGGGCCCGCGGCCUAUCAGCUUGUUGGGGGGUGAUGGCCUACCAAGGCGACGACGGGUAGCCGGCCUGAGAGGGCGACCGGCCACACUGGGACUGAGACACGGCCCAGACUCCUACGGGAGGCAGCAGUGGGGAAUCUUGCGCAAUGGGCGAAAGCCUGACGCAGCGACGCCGCGUGAGGGAUGACGGCCU
rnacentral:rRNA from 1 species